CGAGUUGACCAGACAAUCGCUGCUUUAUUCUUGUAUCAGAUGUGUAAACUGAAGAUAUAGGUAUGAGGGGGAGGAAAGUCCGGGCUCCAAUGAGCAGGGUGCCAGGUAACGCCUGGGCGGCGUGAGCCGACGACAAGUGCAGCAGAGAGAAGACCGCCGAUGGUUGUUCUUAGGAACUUCACAGGUAAGGCUGAAAGGGUGCGGUAAGAGCGCACCGGAUUGCUGGUAACAGUAAUUGCAGGGUAAACUCCACCCGGAGCAAGACCAAAUAGGGUUUCAUAUGGCGUGGCUCGCGUUGAAACCGGGUAGGUUGCUUGAGCCUUAGAGCGAUUUAAGGCCUAGACGAAUGAUUGUCACUCUUUUUCGAAAGAGAUACAAAACCCGGCUUAUGUGGUCAACUCAACUA
rfam:Colwellia sp. PAMC 20917, complete genome.